UACGUAGGAGGCGAGCGUUGUCCGGAGUUACUGGGCGUAAAGGGUGCGCAGGCGGCGGUUCGCGUGGCGAGUUGAAAUCUCCUGGCUUACCUGGGAGAGUGGUCGCCAGACGGGAUCGCUUGAGGGUCGGAGAGGGGCGUGGAAUUCCGGGUGGAGCGGUGAAAUGCGUAGAUAUCAUGUGGAACGCCAAUGGUGAAAACAGGUAGCUGGGAGUGUGCUGACGCUGAGACACGAAAGCCAGGGGAGCAAACGGG
rnacentral:rRNA from 1 species